GUGAAGUCUGGAGCAGGACUCUGGGACUUUUUGUCCUCCAUGCCGCUCACCAGAAAAGGAACUGUGAACUGUGAUUUGGCUCUAGCUGACAGGAAGAAUUUCUGGCCCAGCUGGAAGUGAGAAGAGGGAGUGAGUCUCUGAGGGCCAUCCUAGAGGCCGCCAGCAUCACCCGGACAAUCCUCGAUGUGAAUCAAUCCCAUGAUGCAACAUGCCUCCCCAGCCCCCGCUCUGACGAUGAUGGCCACGCAGAAUGUCCCUCCCCCACCCUACCAGGACAGCCCGCAGAUGACGGCAACCGCUCAGGCACCCUCCAAGGCCCAGGCUGUCCACAUCUCCGCACCCUCGGCUGCUGCCAGCACGCCUGUGCCCAGUGCCCCCAUUGACCCCCAGGCCCAGCUGGAGGCUGACAAGAGAGCUGUGUACAGGCACCCUCUUUUCCCGCUCCUGACGCUGCUGUUUGAGAAAUGUGAACAGGCCACCCAGGGCUCUGAGUGCAUCACCUCCGCCAGCUUUGAUGUGGACAUCGAGAACUUUGUCCACCAGCAGGAGCAGGAGCACAAACCCUUCUUCAGCGAUGACCCAGAACUGGACAAUCUGAUGGUGAAGGCAAUCCAGGUCCUGAGAAUCCACCUGCUGGAGCUGGAGAAAGUCAAUGAACUCUGCAAGGACUUUUGUAAUCGUUAUAUCACCUGCCUCAAAACCAAGAUGCACAGCGAUAACCUGCUCAGGAAUGACCUCGGGGGGCCGUACUCCCCCAACCAGCCCUCCAUAAACCUUCACUCACAGGACCUCCUGCAGAAUUCCCCCAAUUCCAUGUCUGGAGUCUCCAAUAACCCCCAAGGGAUUGUGGUCCCAGCCUCAGCGCUCCAGCAGGGCAACAUCGCCAUGACAACCGUCAACUCACAAGUGGUGUCAGGUGGAGCUUUAUACCAGCCAGUUACCAUGGUAACCUCCCAGGGUCAGGUGGUCACCCAAGCAAUCCCCCAGGGAGCCAUCCAGAUCCAGAACACACAGGUUAACCUUGACCUCACCUCCCUCCUGGACAAUGAGGAUAAGAAGUCCAAGAACAAACGAGGAGUCUUGCCCAAGCAUGCCACCAAUAUAAUGCGUUCUUGGCUCUUCCAGCAUCUCAUGCACCCCUACCCCACGGAGGAUGAGAAGAGGCAGAUUGCAGCCCAGACAAACCUCACCCUCCUGCAAGUAAAUAACUGGUUCAUCAAUGCCCGGAGACGUAUCCUGCAGCCCAUGCUUGAUGCCAGCAACCCAGACCCUGCCCCUAAAGCCAAGAAGAUCAAGUCACAGCACCGGCCCACCCAAAGAUUCUGGCCCAACUCCAUUGCCGCAGGGGUGCUGCAGCAGCAAGGUGGCGCCCCGGGGACGAACCCCGAUGGUUCCAUCAACUUGGACAACCUGCAGUCCCUGUCCUCAGACAAUGCCACCAUGGCUAUGCAGCAGGCUAUGAUGGCUGCACACGAUGACUCAUUGGAUGGGACAGAAGAAGAGGAUGAGGAUGAGAUGGAAGAGGAGGAGGAAGAGGAGCUGGAGGAGGAGGCUGACGAGUUGCAGACGACGAAUGUCAGCGACCUGGGCUUGGAACACAGUGACUCCCUGGAGUAG
rnacentral:lncRNA from 1 species